UCCCACUCGGGGUCGCACCUGGAGAGUUUCCAGUACUCUACCAAUCUUGGCUAUAGGAGGGAGAGUCAAGCAGGGGCAUACACAUUCCAUUCCUAGCUUGACCUGUGGCUAGCAAGUGGAAGGCAAUCUGCUACAAGU